rnacentral:misc_RNA from 1 species
AAUGAAGGAACAAUCCCUUAUCAUUGGUACACUUAUGGUGAAUUAGCCUUUGAAGUAGUGUCUGCAGGAGUCACUCUGUGUAAUGAAUUAAAAAAAUUGAGAAAUCAUUUUCCUCUUAAGGAAAACAUAUGUUUUAGAAAGUUAGGAAAUAUUUUAAUUCCUCCUUUCUACUUCCUCCUUUCUACUUAUACCAAGAGAAUUCUUUCAAAUAAGAUUUCUAUUGUUGGGUUGAAAAAUUUAUCUGAAACCAUUUUUCAAACGGGGAAUCUUUCUUAGAUAGUACCAUAAUUUUAUAUGGUUCUUUUAAACUCUCUUUGUCAUAGCCCAUAUCAGAAGGAGUUGGGCUUUCUGGCCUUUUUAGACUUGUUGGAUUUCGUAAUCCUGUUGGGCUUGACAAAAUACUCUCAGUGUUUUCAUAAAAGGGCUGAGCUAUUUGUUUCUCGGUCUUUUGAAUUCCUCCUAUAGAACUUGCUCUUUCUAGAGGUUCUAUAAUCGACAUUGAGGACUUAUGUGGUAUAGGUUCAAAACAUAUAGAUCUUCUUGAGAAUGAAUGUCUAGACCUAGUCCUUGCAAAAGAUAUAGCUACAGUUCCUUGAUUGGUUUCUAUUAUUGUCUGAAGAUCACUUGUUUCUUCCUUUUUAUGUGGAAUUGCUUCUUCUAGAAUCCAAUUUUCAGGUAGUUUAACCUGUUCCCAUUCAACAGACUUUGGAACUAUUAAGUUUCCUUUCUCUAAGUCUGUGACAAAGAAAGUUAUGGUUCCUUUG